rnacentral:rRNA from 1 species
CCUCCGCUUAUUGAUAUGCUUAAAUUCAGCGGGUUCACUUGUCUGACUUCAUGCUAGAGGCAUGCACCUGCAUCCCAGCAGUUGCAAGCAUGAGCAGCGUCACUCAAGUAAAACCGGGAAGGUAGAAACUUGA